rnacentral:rRNA from 1 species
AUUGAAAGCUGGCGGCAGGCUUAACACAUGCAAGUCGAACGAGUGGCGGACGGGUGAGUAAUGCUUGGGAAUCUAGCUUCUGGAGGGGGAUAAAUACGGGAAACUGUAGCUAAUACCGCGUACCAUAGGAUGAGCCCACGUGGGAUUAGGUAGUUGGUGAGGUAAAGGAUAACCAAGACGACGAUCUCUAGCUGGUCGGAGAGGAUGACCAGCCACACUGGGACUGAGACACGGCCCAGACGCCUACGGGAGGCAGCAGUGGGGAAUAUUGCGCAAUGGGGGCAACCUGACGCAGCCAUGCCGCGUGAAUGAAGAAUGCCUUCGGGUUGUAAAGUUCUUUCGGUAGCGAGGCGUUAACUACAGAAGAAGCCCCGGCUAACUCCGUGCCAGCAGCCGCGGUAAUAC